rnacentral:rRNA from 1 species
CAUAUAACUAAGCGGAGGAAAAGAAACUAACAAGGAUUCCCCUAGUAGCGGCGAGCGAAGCGGGAAAAGCCCGGUGUGAAAAUCUCUUCGGAGAAUUGUAUCCGAGUGUCCUUGGGUGGUCAGUGCGAGCAAGUUGCUUGGGAUAGCACGCCAUGGAGGGUGAGAGCCCCGUCCAUCUCGCACAGGAUCCAUCCGCACAAGGGCGCUUCAACCGAGUCGGGUAGCUUGGGAAUGCUGCUCUAAUUGGUGGUAAAUCUCAUCAAAGGCUAAAUAACGGUGGGAGACCGAUAGCGAACAAGUACCGUGAGGGAAAGAUGGAAAGAACUUUGAAAAGAGAGUGAAAAGAACUUGAAACCGUCACGGGGGAAGCGGAUUGCGUGAGUGGUGGUGCCGCUUGUUCAGCGCUUUUUUAGGCGUGCAUUCUGGCGGUACCUUGUCGUCGUGGCUGGCUGGCUACGUGAUUUUGACGUGCCGGCUGGUGAGGGCUCCCUUCGGGUGAGGACGACGACAAAAUGACGCAAUACGACCCGUCUUGAAACACGGACCAAGGAGUCUAGCACGGCUGCGAGUCGAAGGGUGUAAAACCCAAGGGCGCAGUGAAAGCGAAUUUAUAAGCAAAUUGGGGAGGCGUGGCGUUUUUAACAAAAUGUCCUACCUCGAGCAUUUGUGCUGGGACCCGAAAGAUGGUGAACUAUGCCGGAGUAGGGCAAAGCCAGAGGAAACUCUGGUGGAGGCUCGUAGCGAUGCUGACGUGCAAAUCGCUCGUCGAACUUGGGUAUAGGGGCGAAAGACUAAUCGAACCAUCUAGUAGCUGGUUCCCUCCGAAGUUUCUCUCAGGAUAGCGGGCCGACAUUUUGUUGUUUUGUGCGGUAAAGCGAAUGAUUAGUGCAUUUGGGGUCUGAUAGACUUCAGGCGAUUCUCAAACUUUAAAUGCGCAAGGGGGUGGCUGCUUAAUUGAGCCUACUCUUUGAAAAACGUCGGCCCUGUGGGCCACUUUUGGUAAGCAGAACUGGCGAUAAGGGAUGAACCUUAAGCGCGGUUAAGGCGCCGCAUUGCCCGCUUAUAGACCCCACAAAAGGUGUUGAUUCAUUUAGACAGCAGGACGGUGGCCAUGGAAGUCGGAAUCCGCUAAGGAGUGUGUAACAACUCACCUGCCGAAUGAAUUAG